rnacentral:lncRNA from 1 species
CCCCCCGCUUGAUGGCUGCUGCCCCCUGGCGUUGGCGGCCGGCGCCCAGGCCCCGGGGACGCGCGUUCUGCUCCGCGCCCUUCCCAGCUCCGCGGAAAGGGAGACACCGCCGGAACCGGGCGCCCCUGCGCUCCGAAUGCUAGAGACGCUUUAGCCCGGAGCGCCCUCGAAUAAAUACACUCUGAGGGUGUAAGUGUGGAGGGAUCUACUGGGGCUGAGAAAAGGGCUUCCAGUCCCCGCCUGGCCCCUGGGCCUCCCUUUCCUCCACCCUCUAGCAGGUCAGAGACUGGGAAGCCGCCGAAGCUGGAACCCACCUUGGGGGUUGGCAAGGUCUCCUGCGGCCCCUCAGGGGCACUGGCCGCGCCCUGCCCUCCCCCACACACCCUGCCAAAUUCACCCUGGCCUGGGCCAACUCCCUUCCCGGGAGAGGUGGGCGUGCAUGGUUCUCUUUCCUUGCAAGUGUGUCCUUGUCGGCCAAGAAGAAGGCCGAAACUGUCAACCCCACCUCUGCCUUCACCCCUCAUGUCACUGUCCUCGAUGUGCGUGGGUGAGCUGGAAACUAGCGCCCACCCCAGGCGGGUACCCUGCUCGGCUAGGGCGUCAGGAUCCCUGAGACGUAAACAGGAUUUCGGGUUUAGGACACCUGCCACCCGGGAGAAGGGAAGAUGCCGCUCUCGGACCUCACAGGCCGUCCUUGCAGGAAUGGGUCGCAGGGAAGGACCAGCCUAAUGAGGAGACUGACGGUGGAAACUCCAGGGAAAGCCCCAAUUAUUACACAGAGGAAACUGAGACAGAAAGGAAUGAUGUUGUUGCAGUGUUGGGAACAGAACUCAGAGCCUUACUCAAGACAGAAAGCAGAGACGGGAAAGAAUUCUGGGGCCCGCGGCCAAUCCCUCCUCGAGGGCAGAGGGACCAAGAGCACCCAUUUUCCAAGCCCACCCACCCAGAAGCGUUGAAAGGGGGUGCAUUUCCUCUGUGGCGCCGCAGAACGGGAGUCGGCGAUGAGGGGUCCCUCGCGCUUCGCCUGGCUCCAGGGCGCAGCUCCAGACGCCGAGGGGCAGGAGGGGUGGCGAGUGACCAGCAGGGGGCGCCCCAGCCCCAGCCUGGACGCGGCCCCCGCUGGGGACGCGGGGGGCGCGAGAGGCUCGGCGCCCCCUGACCCAGCCUGAGCCCCGUUCCCAUGCAGGCCGGCCUCGCAUCCCGAACGCGGCUGAGCCGAGCCACAGCCCCGGAACGCAGCUGCCGCCCCCCUAGGGGGCGCCCAGCCUCGGGUCCCACCUCAUGCGCGUGCAGCGCCCCAGCCCCGCGCAACCCACAGAGCGCACAGCGCCGUUCACUUCGCAUGGUAGCGUUUUAUUAUUUUCUCGCAUUUUUGUCGUUGCGUUCUCGCUUCGGAGCGAAAAGUGAAAACCUGAGGUGGAGCCCGCGGGCCGGGCCAGCAAAGCCCGGGUGGAGGGGCUGAGGGGCCGGCGGGGUGGCUCCUCCUGCGGGGCUGGGGGCUGGGGGGGCGGCUCCCCCGGCCAAGGACCCCCACCCCGCCCUGUACAAUACAGAUGCUCAUGGAGGAUGAAAAAAAUUAAAUGCUAUGAGUUAAUCUCUAAAUAUAUGUACACAGCAAUGUACACCUUUGAAUAAAUUAAUACCAAUUUG